AAGUCGUAACAAGGUUUCCGUAGGUGAACCUGCGGAAGGAUCAUUAACACGUGUUUCACACGUAUUAACGAAAACGCGAACUGUUAUGUAUUCCGAAAGUUAAUUGUGGGCGCAGAGAGGGAAAUGAUGUGAUCCAUUAAAUUGGGUCUUUACCUCAAUGCUACCUUGGUCCGACCAAGAACCCAUGGUUAACAUUUCGUAGAUAACUAUUUCGACCGCUUAUUAAGCCUGCAUCAUAGCUUGCGUGUCGAGGUGAAUACUAUUAACCCUUUUCUUUGUAUUUAAUCUCUAAUUUUGUAUGUCUUUAUGGAUUCCUGACUUUUUAAAACGAGGUCGGUUGAGUCUAUUUAGAUGUCGUAUAUUUAUAAUACGAAAACAACUCUUAGCAACGGAUAUCUUGGUUCUC
rnacentral:misc_RNA from 1 species